ensembl:lncRNA
CUCUCUCUCUCUCUCUUUCUCUCUCUCUUACUCUCGUCUGACUCGCUCCCUCUCUCUCUCUUUCUCUCUCUCUCUUACUCUCAUCUGACUCGCUCCCUCUCUCUCUCUCUUACUCUCGUCUGACUCGCAUUCUCUCUCUCUCUCUCUCUCUCCCUCUUUCUCUCUCCAUAGCCAGGAGGAAAUGGAAAAGUCACAUCUUGAUUUAACGUGUGACUGCAGAGCAAAAUCCCUGUGACCGACCGAUGUUCCUGUGCUGUGAAAUACAUGUAUUCUGGGAAAUAACAUAGAAGACAGAUGUGUGUAGUCCUCGGUCUGGGAAACAUAGAUCAGAGGGGAGAAGAAGAAAUGGCUACUCUGCUGUCCCAUGCCCUGGUUUCACUGGCUUGUUGUGCUGCCUCUCUCUGUCCUCUCAGCAUGAUUAAUGCCAGGUACAAAAACCAGAGGAAAGGAACACCAAGAGACAUGGUGGAAGAUGAAGGAGUAUGAAGGAAUAUGAUUGGGUCCUGGUCUAUUGAGACUCUUCUCUGUACAGCUAAAGAACUUCUGGAUUCUGAAGUAUUUUAUGACUCCUACUGGCUGAUUCAUAAUUUGAUCUACUGAAAUUGACAAGUGGAUGUAAUGUUUGGAAAGCUUUGGAAAGCUCCAUGGUGUGCACAAUUGGAAAACUCAGUGUGUAUCUGGAAAAAAAACAGAGGCCUUGUGCUCUAAUACGACCCUCCACUGAGAAACG